ACUCCUACGGGAGGCAGCAGUGGGGAAUAUUGGGCAAUGGGGGAAACCCUGACCCAGCAACGCCGCGUGAAGGAAGAAGGCCUUCGGGUUGUAAACUUCUUUUACCAGGGACGAAGAACGUGACGGUACCUGGAGAAAAAGCAACGGCUAACUACGUGCCAGCAGCCGCGGUAAUAC
rnacentral:rRNA from 1 species